CAGAACCCCACUCAUUUUCACUUCCCAAUCCCAAACUAACGAAAUCCAAGCCGCCUAAACCCCUCCCCCCAACAUUUCUGCCGCCAGAAAUCGCCUCACGGUGGCGGAACUUCCCUAAACCCCGCCAAACUAACACCAGCCAACCACCAUCUCCUCCUUUUUUCCGUAUCUCGUACUCACUCCCUUUAAAAAACCCAGAAACCCCCAAAUUUCAUAUCUAAACAAAACCCUAGUUCUGUUGUGUCUUUGAUUUUUCAUUCAAUCUCGGUCCAUUUGAACCCAAGACCUACAUCAAUCAAUUUCUCUUGAUGAGAGAUAUCGACUGAUGUUAGUCUUAGUUCAUUUUAUGUCGCUGGAAUCCGCCUGAGUUCGCGUUUGUUCUGGUUCAUAUUAGGGUUUGUUUGAAUAGAGUAAUUUCUCUUUCUCUUUUUAUUUUUCCUCAUAAUCUUUAGUUUGCAUAUUUUAGUAUUGGUUUAAUUUCAGUGUCUGUGAUCAUUAGAAUUUGUUAAGUCUUCAUCUCAGUAGUUUGUUUACUAAGUUUUAACAAUUUCCCCUUUGGUAAGAUUCAUUUGGUGAUAGAUUAUUUUUAUGAUUUUUGAUGUUGGUUCUUGUUAAAUAUAUUCAGGGUUGAUCUAACGGUUUAAUUGCGUAGUAAUUUGUUCCUUUGAUCCUUUCUUUUGUGUUAAUUCUUGUCUUGUGUUUUUAGUUUGGAUUUGUAAACAAAUUUGGCGUGUGGGGGGCUAAUCUAACAAAAGAAAACUUAAGGGGAUCAUGGAAGGGGUAUGCAAACAAAAGUUUGGACAUAAACUUCUAGAAUUUGGGACAACUGGCUCUAUUUGGCUAGCACAAAAAUGCUGAAAUCAAUUAGAGGCUGUAGAUUAUCCCAUUUUUGUUAUAAAGAUGCUUUUAGGAGUUGUGUGAGGGAAUAAUUCCCCGAUUUUUUUGUUUUCAGCACAUGUCACUUCAGUUGUAUAAUAUAAAACCCUCCACUUCACUCCUGAAAAAAACAUAGACCUAAAAAUCUUCUGGUGAUCCAGCUUCCUUUUCUGAUUUUUCUUUCUUUUAUAGAGAUUUUGGAAGAAAUUUUUCUCUAAAAAUUUCUGGGUUCUGGAGCUAAGAAUGGUUGAUAGAAAGAUUGUGCUGAGUAUUGUUGUUGUUUCUCACUAAUGUACCCAAAGAUGAUCUUAUUCUCGUAUUUCAUACUUCUAUUUGAGUAUGUGUUAUUAUCUCCACUUGUAGGUAUGUAAAUUCUCACCUAUUCUAUCCUAUUCUGAACUAAUGCAAUGAAAAGAUGUCUUCUCUAUGCUAUCUCUAUGAUUGAUUGCUAAAGAUUCAUGUUUAGUUGCUCGAGUCUCUUGUUUGAUUAUGAAAAUUUUCUAGUUGAGGUUUGGUAGUAAUUCUAAUGGUAGUAGAAGCCAGAUUCAAGUUAAUAUCAUGAGCUUACAAGCAUGUAAUCCAACUUAGCUUUGAUAUUUUGAUGGUUGUUGGUUUUUCGUUGGUUGACUCUAAAAUUUAUGAUUCAGUGAACUUUAAGUUUCUUUGAAAUGACCUUAGAAGAAGUUGUUUGGCAUGUAUUUUCUCUGAGUUUUUGUGUGUUAAAGUCAUGGAAAUGUUGUAAUCCUCCUAGCCGUUUGUUUUCAUUUGUUUUCAAUUGUGACAAUGUGGUUACAGAUUUUCAAGCUAGCUCUGUAGCUAGCCAUGCAAGUGCAAACUUGUUUUUGAAUAACCAAACCUCAUGGCCUGGAGUAGCUUGUAUUAGCGGAGGGUCGGCAUCUCUUGUGAAGCCCUAAUUAAUGAUUAACUAGAUAUUAGGGUUGUUGAGCUAUUAUGAUUUGAGUUUUGUAUAAAUUAUUUUAUUAAUCAUUCAUAUGUAUAAGUUGAUUUAGUUAUUCUUUGGAGUGGUUAGGCAUUAUUAAUUUACAGGAUUUAUGAAAUUUUUGAUUAAGUGUAGUUCAAGAGAUUCAACAGGCCUUGGUAGUGUUUGGGCCUGGCUUUGGCCCCAGUUGAGGCACCCUGUUUGAGACAAGGCACGAAAUGCUUUGAUUCUGUUUUGUGUUCGCUUCUAGGCUCAAUACCGAGUCCAAAUGUCUUCAGAAAAUUUCACCCAUCAAUUGGCUUACAAUAAUUUGAGGCACAACGUCCUCCUUUGGCCA
rnacentral:lncRNA from 1 species